GACGAACGCUGGCGGCGUGCUUAACACAUGCCAGUCGAACGGAAAGGCCCUGCUUUUGUGGGGUGCUCGAGUGGCGAACGGGUGAGUAACACGUGAGUAACCUGCCCUUGACUUUGGGAUAACUUCAGGAAACUGGGGCUAAUACCGGAUAGGAGCUCCUGCUGCAUGGUGGGGGUUGGAACGUUUCGGCGGUUGGGGAUGGACUCGCGGCUUAUCAGCUUGUUGGUGGGGUAGUGGCUUACCCAGGCUUUGACGGGUAGCCGGCAUGAGAGGGUGACCGGCGACAAGGGGACUGAGGUAGGGCCCAGACGCCAACGGGAGGCAGCAGUGGGGAAUAUUGCACAGUGGGCGGAAGCCUGAUGCAGCAACGCCGCGUGCGGGAUGACGGCCUUCGGGUUGUAAACCGCUUUCGCCUGUGACGAAGCGGGAGUGACGGUAAUGGGUAAAGAAGCACCGGCUAACUACGUG
rnacentral:rRNA from 1 species